rnacentral:rRNA from 1 species
GAUCAUGGCUCAGGAUGAACGCUAGCGACAGGCCUAACACAUGCAAGUCGAGGGGGCAGCGGGGAGGUAGCAAUACCUUUGCCGGCGACCGGCGCACGGGUGAGUAACACGUAUGCAAUCCACCUGUAACAGGGGGGAUAACCCGGAGAAAUCCGGACUAAUACCCCCAUAAUAUGGGCGUUCCGCAUGGAGCGUCCAUUAAAGNGAGCAAUUUUGGUUACAGACGAGCAUGCGCUCCAUUAG